AUUGAACGCUGGCGGCAGGCCUAACACAUGCAAGUCGAACGAGUGGCGGACGGGUGAGUAAUGUCUGGGAAACUGCCCGAUGGAGGGGGAUAACUACUGGAAACGGUAGCUAAUACCGCAUACCAUCGGAUGUGCCCAGAUGGGCUUAGCUAGUAGGUGGGGUAACGGCGCACCUAGGCGACGAUCCCUAGCUGGUCUGAGAUGAUGAACAGCCACACUGGAACUGAGACAAGGUCCAGAGUCCGACGGGAGGCAGCAGUGGGGAAUAUUGCACAAUGGGCGCAAGCCUGAUGCAGCCAUGCCGCGGUGAUGAAGAAGGCCUUCGGGUUGUAAAGUACUUUCAGCGAGGAGGCGUUACUCGCAGAAGAAGCACCGGAUAACUCCGUGCCAGCAGCCGCGGUAAUUC
rnacentral:rRNA from 1 species